rnacentral:ncRNA from 1 species
CGGUCACUAGAUAUCCAGCGGGGAAAGAAGACCCUGUAGAGCUUCACUUUGGUCUAGUCUUGUAUAGUUCCUGCGGGGGUGUAGACUAGGUGGGAGAGCAAUCGAUUCUGAAAAACCACUACCCUGUUUGGAAUUAUGCUUACCUAUCACAAGGAAUAGGACUAGAUAGAAAGUUUGGCUGGGGCGGCACACCUUCGAAAGAGCAGCGAAGGUGUCCUAAGUUGAGCUCAGUGAGGACAGAAAUCUCACGUUGAGGAUAAGGCCAAAAGCUCAAUUUACUGUGCCUUUUUGUACUAGGAUCAGUUACGAAAGUAAGGCCUAACGAUCCCUAAAUAGCCUCAGGUGCGUGAGGAUUGGGGUGACAGACAAGUUACCUCCGGGACAACUGGCUUGUGGCUGCUAAGAGAUCAAAUCAACGCAGCUUUUUGAUUCUUCGAUGUCGGCUCUUCCUAUCCUAGUGAUGUACAAGUUGCUAAGGGUCGGAUUGUUCACCCGUAUUAGGGAUCGUGAGCUGGGUUUAGACCGUCGUGAGCCAGGUUUGUUUUAUCCUACUGGAUAUAGCAUCAUGAUAGUAGAUUGAUUUAGUACGAGAGGAACUGUUGAUUAUGGCCUCUGGUUAGCGAUUAUCGGAAACGGUAUGUCGCGCAGCUACGCCGUCUGGGAUAAUGGCUGAAAGCCUCUUAAGCCAGAAGCCCAUCUAGAAAGUGAUGCACGUGAUGUUGGACCGAUACGAAUAAUCAUACUCAAAAGGUCCGCUUCAUAGGUAACCCAAUGUAGAAGACAUUGUGUGAACGAAGGUACUGUAAGCAGUGGAGUGGCAUUACGUCCACGACCUGUUGAGGUUCAGCUUCGCUUCUAGGUUUCA